rnacentral:misc_RNA from 1 species
AUAAAUUACUACAACAAAGCUUUGCACAAGUAGUGUGUUUAAUUCCUUCGGCUUAUUACUACGUACCGUUGCAAUGAUGGUUGAAGAAGACGCUCAACAACAGAUGCAAAACAAUACAUAUCUUGAUGAACUUCAAGCCGAAGUUACAUCACUUUCUCCCUCUUCUCAUGCUGCUCGAUUAAUAACUGAAGAAAUCUGUUCUUUAGAAAUAGAAAGAGUUCAAUCAGGGAAUGCACCAGCUGGUUCACAAAAAGAUGAAAAAAAUAUACCAUGUUUUGAAAUACACACUGGAAAACCAUACAAACACUCGUGUAAAAUCAAGAUUCCUGUUAAAGAAUUUCCCAAGUUCAAUUUUGUGGGAAAGUUAUUAGGACCAAAAGGUAAUUCGUUAAAAAGACUACAGGAAGAAACAAUGACAAAAAUGUCUAUACUUGGUAAAGGUUCAAUGAGAGACAAAGAUAAGGAAGAUGAGUUAAGAAAGAAAGGUGGAAAAUAUACCCACUUAAAUGAAGAUCUUCAUGUUCUUGUAGAAGUUUAUGCAGAAGCAUCAGAUGCAUAUCAAAGAAUGGCACAUGCUUUCACUGAAUUACAGAAGUAUUUAAUUCCGAAUGAUUACAAUGAUGAAAUCCGUCAACAGCAACUUCAAGAAUUGAUGUAUUUAAAUGGUGGUGAUGGUGGUCGUGGUCGAGGUCGUGGCAGAGGUGCUCCCGGACAGACGCCCCGAGGGGCACCACGGGGUGGUCUUCUAACGUCUCCUGCUGGAAGAGGUGGUCCCGCUGGCAGGGGUGGUGCUAUUCCACCUCCUACGAGGGGUGCUCCUGCAGGACGUGGUACACCCCCAUCAAGAGGUGGUCCACCAAGAGGGGGUAUGGCGGCUGGCAGAGGUCGGGCAGCACCUGCUCCACAAGUGCCACCACCCAUGGAACAAAGCUAUGAUGACUAUGGAUAUGAUCAAAGUUAUAAUGAAGGUUAUGGAGAUCAAAGUGGUUAUGAAGGUGGUUAUGGUGAUCAGUCAUAUGGCCAAGUGGACUCACAAUAUUACGAUUACGGCGCUGGGGGACAGUAUGAUGAGGGAUACGGUGAUGGUGGCUGGGGCUCAAAUGUUGGACAGAUGAAGGCCCCACCACCCACUAGAGGUGCAAAGGGACAAUACAGAAGUCAUCCAUAUGGAGGUAGAGGCGGAGGUUACUAAAAACUAGCCCUGGUCAAAACCUAACCCUGCUGCACUGGUCGUAUUCGCUGUCUUCGUCCAGUCUCCAUCCACUUAAGCCGAGUGGCUUUGACCAACUGAUGCCAAUCUCAGUUGUGGCCCACAGAAGAAUGACAAGCAUGUGAGCAAGGAGAUAUCACUUGAGACCUGAUCUUAAAACGUCCAAGAUGGGAAACCUGUGAUUUUUGUAUUUUUACUGUAUUUUUAAAAGUAUUUUUAAAAAAAUAAAAAUUAUUUUUCUAUAAAAAA